rnacentral:rRNA from 1 species
GACGAACGCUGGCGGCGUGCUUAACACAUGCAAGUCGAACGAUGAAGCCGGAGCUUGCUCUGGUGAAUUAGUGGCGAACGGGUGAGUAACACGUGAGUAACCUGCCCUUGACUCUGGGAUAACUGCGGGAAACUGUAGCUAAUACCGGAUACGACCCUCGGAGGCAUCUCCUGGGGGUGGAAAGAAUUUCGGUCAAGGAUGGACUCGCGGCCGAUCAGCUAGUUGGUGAGGUAAAGGCUCACCAAGGCGACGACGGGUAGCCGGCCUGAGAGGGUGACCGGCCACACUGGGACUGAGAUACGGCCCAGACUCCUACGGGAGGCAGCAGUGGGGAAUAUUGCACAAUGGGCGCAAGCCUGAUGCAGCGACGCCGCGUGAGGGAUGACGGCCUUCGGGUUGUAAACCUCUUUCAGCACCGACGAAGCGCAAGUGACGGUAGGUGCAGAAGAAGGACCGGCCAACUACGUGCCAGCAGCCGCCGUAA